rnacentral:rRNA from 1 species
GAUGAACGCUAGCGGCAGGCUUAAUACAUGCAAGUCGAGGGGCAGCAUGAAUGUAGCAACACAUUUGAUGGCGACCGGCAAACGGGUGCGGAACACGUACACAACCUUCCUAUAAGUGGGGAAUAGCCCAGAGAAAUUUGGAUUAAUACCCCGUAACAUAAUGAUGUGGCAUCACAUUAUUAUUAUAGCUACGGCGCUUGUUGAUGGGUGUGCGGCUGAUUAGAUAGUUGGCGGGGUAACGGCCCACCAAGUCUACGAUCAGUAGCUGAUGUGAGAGCAUGAUCAGCCACACGGGCACUGAGACACGGGCCCGACUCCUACGGGAGGCAGCAGUAAGGAAUAUUGGUCAAUGGACGCAAGUCUGAACCAGCCAUGCCGCGUGAAGGAUUAAGGUCCUCUGGAUUGUAAACUUCUUUUAUCUGGGACGAAAAAAGGCUAUUCUUAGUCACUUGACGGUACCAGAUGAAUAAGCACCGGCUAACUCCGUGCCAGCCGCCGCGGUAAUAC